rnacentral:rRNA from 1 species
UACGGGGGGAGCAAGCGUUGUUCGGAUUUACUGGGCGUAAAGGGCGCGUAGGCGGCCACGACAAGUCAGUUGUGAAAUCUCCGAGCUUAACUCGGAACGGUCAAGUGAUACUGCUUUGCUAGAGUGCAGAAGGGGCAACCGGAAUUCUUGGUGUAGCGGUGAAAUGCGUAGAUAUCAAGAGGAACACCGGAGGUGAAGACGGGUUGCUGGGCUGACACUGACGCUGAGGCGCGAAAGCUAGGGUAGCAAACGGG